UUCAUCUGGAGGAUAUUUCACACUAAGUCAUCUGAUGUCAAACUGGUUCCUAAACUGGGAGGAUCACCAGUUCACUGGAUCUUAGACCAUCAGAGCCGCUGAAACCUCAUCCUCAUCACCAUAAUCAGUCUCAGUGGUUUCUGGUUCUCUGCAGCACCGACUCAAUAACUUUAACUGGUUUCUCAGUCAGAAAUCUCCUCACUGGCUGAACCUCACCUUCAGCAACAACCAGUUUCUCUCUGGCUCCUCCCACCACUGCUGAGCUCAGCCAAUGAGAAGGCUUGUCUCUGCAGGGUUAAAAGCAGCUUGAUGAUGAUGAUGAAGGUCUGUUAGUCUUCCUUCUGCUGCAGUGGAUCAUCUCUGUAGAUCUGCUGUCUGACCUGAACUCCUGGAACAUGUUGCUUUACCUCCUGCUCUUCUCUCUCUACAUCGCUCUGGGCUCCAUGAACACCGUCACACAGGAGCAGAGGGAACACGUCGCUUCAGAGGGAAGCCCCACCAGUUUGAGCUGCGGAUAUACUGGUUCUAUCUAUAAUGUCCAGUGGUACCGACAGCAGCAGAGAUCCAGACCAGAGUUCCUGCUCUACGUUUCAGAGUCGGGAUCCAUCCAUCCAACUCGCUCCGAUUUCUCAGCUCACAUCAAUAAAACUCAGAAACGAGGAACUCUGCUGAUCUCCUCUGCUGCAGUGACAGACUCUGCUGUGUACUACUGCGCCGUGACGCCCACAGUGACAGGAAACACCAGAACCCUGGACAAGAACCUGCAGUACUCCACAGCAGCCACUAGAGGGCCUCAGACUGCAUGAACCCGAGGUUUCUCUGUAGAAACUCACUGAACCUCAUGACAAAGCUGCUCCUGCUCCAGUUUGUCCAGCAGAUCUAAGUGAAUGGGAGGAACCGUUGUAAGCUGCAGGCUGAUGAGCGUCUGGACGUCCGCUGGUUCCCACAAGCUGCUGGAUUAAGACAGAAACUUAAACCUCAAGACAUGUUACCAAAAUUAACUUUGCUAAACUUGGUAUUUAGAUUCUUUAUUAGAAAUACCAAUAAUUAAAAUUAAAUGCAUUUUUUAUCUAAAAUUUUAUGCAAACUGAUGGUUUUUUGUUUGUUAUGUUUUCCUAAAGUUUAAACAGAAUCCAAGGUCUCUUAAUGUACUUGAGGCCAUUUUUAUUCAGUUUCUAAAUCAUGUUUUAGCAGGUUAGUCUCCUCUGUACCUGUGUUGGUGUGUUCAUUAUUUCUCUUCUAUUUACCAUAUCAUAUUUAAAGUGGGUUUAUGUAUCUGUGGUUUUAUGAUUUGCAUUCUCUGUUUUGCUGCUGUUGGGCAGAUUCAUCUUGAAAAAGAGAUUUUUAAUCCCAGUGAAAUUUAGUUGAUUCAAUAAAACAGACAGAAUGAAACUCAACCUAUUCUGUUAUUUGAGCUUCAUGAUAAAUUAUGUCCCAUAUUUAAAUAUAAA